CACGCGGCCGGGCCGCGGCAGGGGUGGCGCGGGCGCUGGCGGCCCCGGCGCGGCGCGGCGGCAGGUGGGCGCGCUCUCGCGGGCGGGGGUCCGGCCGGGCCGCGCGCCUCCCCCGGAACUCGGCCGUGCCAUUCCCAUGAUGCCCAGCCACCGGGCACGGCUUCCGGAGCGCGGCCGCCGCCGCCGCCGCCGCGGGUUGGUGGAGAGGACCCUCCUGCCGCGGCCCCCUAGCAGAUGGGCUCCUCCUCUCCUCUCCAGCGUGCAGACCCUGGCUUCCCCUAACCCUAGGAAAAGCCCCACCUGGAAGUGGAAUGUGUGUUCAAGCAGCUGGCAGAGGGCACCUCUCCCUGAGCACGGAGUGACGAAGGCAGCCUUGAAGCCUUUGAACAGGAGCCUGGACUCGAAGAGAAUUUCAAGAGUGAGGUGGUCCUGCCAAGAAUGA
rnacentral:lncRNA from 1 species